rnacentral:tRNA from 1 species
GAGGAUGUAGCUCAGUGGUAUAGCCUGUGCUUAGCAUGUGUGAGGUCCUGGGUUCAAUCCCCAGUACCUCCA